AGCGUACACGGUGGAUGCCCUGGCAGUCAGAGGCGAUGAAGGACGUGCUAAUCUGCGAUAAGCGUCGGUAAGGUGAUAUGAACCGUUAUAACCGGCGAUUUCCGAAUGGGGAAACCCAGUGUGAUUCGUCACACUAUCAUUAACUGAAUCCAUAGGUUAAUGAGGCGAACCGGGGGAACUGAAACAUCUAAGUACCCCGAGGAAAAGAAAUCAACCGAGAUUCCCCCAGUAGCGGCGAGCGAACGGGGAGCAGCCCAGAGUCUGAAUCAGCUUGUGUGUUAGUGGAAGCGUCUGGAAAGUCGCACGGUACAGGGUGACAGUCCCGUACACGAAAAUGCACAUGUUGUGAACUCGAAGAGUAGGGCGGGACACGUGGUAUCCUGUCUGAAUAUGGGGGGACCAUCCUCCAAGGCUAAAUACUCCUGACUGACCGAUAGUGAACCAGUACCGUGAGGGAAAGGCGAAAAGAACCCCGGCGAGGGGAGUGAAAAAGAACCUGAAACCGUGUACGUACAAGCAGUGGGAGCACGCUUAGGCGUGUGACUGCGUACCUUUUGUAUAAUGGGUCAGCGACUUAUAUUCUGUAGCAAGGUUAACCGAAUAGGGGAGCCGAAGGGAAACCGAGUCUUAACUGGGCGUUAAGUUGCAGGGUAUAGACCCGAAACCCGGUGAUCUAGCCAUGGGCAGGUUGAAGGUUGGGUAACACUAACUGGAGGACCGAACCGACUAAUGUUGAAAAAUUAGCGGAUGACUUGUGGCUGGGGGUGAAAGGCCAAUCAAACCGGGAGAUAGCUGGUUCUCCCCGAAAGCUAUUUAGGUAGCGCCUCGUGAACUCAUCUUCGGGGGUAGAGCACUGUUUCGGCUAGGGGGUCAUCCCGACUUACCAACCCGAUGCAAACUACGAAUACCGAAGAAUGUUAUCACGGGAGACACACGGCGGGUGCUAACGUCCGUCGUGAAGAGGGAAACAACCCAGACCGCCAGCUAAGGUCCCAAAGUCAUGGUUAAGUGGGAAACGAUGUGGGAAGGCACAGACAGCCAGGAUGUUGGCUUAGAAGCAGCCAUCAUUUAAAGAAAGCGUAAUAGCUCACUGGUCGAGUCGGCCUGCGCGGAAGAUGUAACGGGGCUAAACCAUGCACCGAAGCUGCGGCAGCGACACUAUGUGUUGUUGGGUAGGGGAGCGUUCUGUAAGCCGUUGAAGGUGUGCUGUGAGGCAUGCUGGAGGUAUCAGAAGUGCGAAUGCUGACAUAAGUAACGAUAAAGCGGGUGAAAAGCCCGCUCGCCGGAAGACCAAGGGUUCCUGUCCAACGUUAAUCGGGGCAGGGUGAGUCGACCCCUAAGGCGAGGCCGAAAGGCGUAGUCGAUGGGAAACAGGUUAAUAUUCCUGUACUUGGUGUUACUGCGAAGGGGGGACGGAGAAGGCUAUGUUAGCCGGGCGACGGUUGUCCCGGUUUAAGCAUGUAGGCGGAGGUUCCAGGUAAAUCCGGUACCUUUUAACGCUGAGGUGUGAUGACGAGGCACUACGGUGCUGAAGUAACAAAUGCCCUGCUUCCAGGAAAAGCCUCUAAGCAUCAGGUAACAUCAAAUCGUACCCCAAACCGACACAGGUGGUCAGGUAGAGAAUACCAAGGCGCUUGAGAGAACUCGGGUGAAGGAACUAGGCAAAAUGGUGCCGUAACUUCGGGAGAAGGCACGCUGAUAUGUAGGUGAAGCCCCUGCGGGUGGAGCUGAAAUCAGUCGAAGAUACCAGCUGGCUGCAACUGUUUAUUAAAAACACAGCACUGUGCAAACACGAAAGUGGACGUAUACGGUGUGACGCCUGCCCGGUGCCGGAAGGUUAAUUGAUGGGGUUAGCGGCAACGCGAAGCUCUUGAUCGAAGCCCCGGUAAACGGCGGCCGUAACUAUAACGGUCCUAAGGUAGCGAAAUUCCUUGUCGGGUAAGUUCCGACCUGCACGAAUGGCGUAAUGAUGGCCAGGCUGUCUCCACCCGAGACUCAGUGAAAUUGAACUCGCUGUGAAGAUGCAGUGUACCCGCGGCAAGACGGAAAGACCCCGUGAACCUUUACUAUAGCUUGACACUGAACACUGGUCCUUGAUGUGUAGGAUAGGUGGGAGGCUUUGAAGUGUGGACGCCAGUCUGCAUGGAGCCAACCUUGAAAUACCACCCUUUAAUGGCUGGUGUUCUAACGUAGACCCGUGAUCCGGGUUGCGGACAGUGUCUGGUGGGUAGUUUGACUGGGGCGGUCUCCUCCUAAAGAGUAACGGAGGAGCACGAAGGUUAGCUAAUCCUGGUCGGACAUCAGGAGGUUAGUGCAAUGGCAUAAGCUAGCUUGACUGCGAGCGUGACGGCGCGAGCAGGUGCGAAAGCAGGUCAUAGUGAUCCGGUGGUUCUGAAUGGAAGGGCCAUCGCUCAACGGAUAAAAGGUACUCCGGGGAUAACAGGCUGAUACCGCCCAAGAGUUCAUAUCGACGGCGGUGUUUGGCACCUCGAUGUCGGCUCAUCACAUCCUGGGGCUGAAGUAGGUCCCAAGGGUAUGGCUGUUCGCCAUUUAAAGUGGUACGCGAGCUGGGUUUAGAACGUCGUGAGACAGUUCGGUCCCUAUCUGCCGUGGGCGCUGGAGAAUUGAGGGGGGCUGCUCCUAGUACGAGAGGACCGGAGUGGACGCAUCACUGGUGUUCGGGUUGUCAUGCCAAUGGCACUGCCCGGUAGCUAAAUGCGGAAGAGAUAAGUGCUGAAAGCAUCUAAGCACGAAACUUGCCCCGAGAUGAGUUCU
rnacentral:rRNA from 1 species